rnacentral:piRNA from 1 species
UUUCUCCUUAGGUGUUAGCAAGUCUUGUUU